rnacentral:rRNA from 1 species
AAGCCUGAUGCAGCGACGCCGCGUGAGGGAUGACGGCCUUCGGGUUGUAAACCUCUUUCAGCAGGGACGAAGCGCAAGUGACGGUACCUGUAGAAGAAGGACCGGCCAACUACGUGCCAGCAGCCGCGGUAAUACGUAGGGUCCGAGCGUUGUCCGGAAUUACUGGGCGUAAAGAGCUCGUAGGUGGUUUGUCGCGUUGUUCGUGAAAACUCACAGCUUAACUGUGGGCGUGCGGGCGAUACGGGCAGACUUGAGUACUGCAGGGGAGACUGGAAUUCCUGGUGUAGCGGUGGAAUGCGCAGAUAUCAGGAGGAACACCGGUGGCGAAGGCGGGUCUCUGGGCAGUAACUGACGCUGAGGAGCGAAAGCGUGGGGAGCGAACAGGAUUAGAUACCCUGGUAGUCCACGCCGUAAACGGUGGGUACUAGGUGUGGGUUUCCUUCCUUGGGAUCCGUGCCG